GACGUAGGGCGCGAGCGUUAAUCGGAAUUACUGGGCGUAAAGCGUGCGCAGGCGGUUUUGUAAGGCAGAUGUGAAAUCCCCGGGCUUAACCUGGGAAUGGCAUUUGUGACUGCAUCGCUAGAGUACGGCAGAGGGGGAUGGAAUUCCGCGUGUAGCAGUGAAAUGCGUAGAUAUGCGGAGGAACACCGAUGGCGAAGGCAAUCCCCUGGGCCUGUACUGACGCUCAUGCACGAAAGCGUGGGGAGCAAACAGG
rnacentral:rRNA from 1 species